GAAAAAGCAUUGAGCGGGAGAAGUAAUCAGCAGACCCUUCCAGAGAGCUGUGGGUUGGUGCAACACAGCAGGAGAACCUGACGAAAUACACCCGUGAGCUGCAGGCUGAACCCAUCAUUAGGUGUGUAGGCUUUGCCGGAGGCCCCCGUUACCAAGGGCUAGGGUAUGUUAGUACCUGACGAGAGUGGCUUGCCAAGGCAAGCAGGGUGGUACCGCGAGUUAGACUCGUCCCUGUU
rnacentral:ncRNA from 1 species